rnacentral:rRNA from 1 species
UAGGGAAUCUUCGGCAAUGGACGAAAGUCUGACCGAGCAACGCCGCGUGAGUGAAGAAGGUUUUCGGAUCGAAAAACUCUGUUGUUAGAGAAGAACAAGGACGUUAGUAACUGAACGUCCCCUGACGGUAUCUAACCAGAAAGCCACGGCUAACUACGUGCCAGCAGCCGCGGUAAUACGUAGGUGGCAAGCGUUGUCCGGAUUUAUUGGGCGUAAAGCGAGCGCAGGCGGUUUCUUAAGUCUGAUGUGAAAGCCCCCGGCUCAACCGGGGAGGGUCAUUGGAAACUGGGAGACUUGAGUGCAGAAGAGGAGAGUGGAAUUCCAUGUGUAGCGGUGAAAUGCGUAGAUAUAUGGAGGAACACCAGUGGCGAAGGCGGCUCUCUGGUCUGUAACUGACGCUGAGGCUCGAAAGCGUGGGGAGCAAACAGG